AUUUAGUGCCAUGUCUGUCAUUUUGCAUCUAGUUAUAUCUAUGUACAGUACAUGUGAUAUCUAUCAUGUCUACCAUAUCUACCAUAACAUGCGCGCGUAGUUUGUACUAGCUAUCGGCUACAACAUGUAUUAUUGGAGCUACCUAGCAUCGCGUUUGCUCGGCGUCACAACUUUCUUGCCUCCUCCAUACUCCUGCUCUGUCGUCUCGGCAAUUGGUUGCGAAUCGACGGACCUGAUUCCGUAAGGACAGGUGAAGCAUGUGUCCGGGUUCCGGCGAUCCGCCUGCAUCUGAAGCAGCUUCCCCAGGAGUUUAACCAGCCCCUGGAUGUCCCUGAGGACGACUCGAGUGAUAACCAGCACAAGUUCGGCGUGGCCUUGAUCCACCAGCAACACAAUGCUGUCGCAGCAGGUCGAGCGUACCGGAUCGCAAUCGUUGCAGCACUGCUCCCACAAAGUCUCCAGGGCUGAACCCUGACGGAAACACCACAACAACUUCUCGCGUUCAAAAAAAUCCACAGAUCUGUCCAUUUUCUACGUCUGUUCAGAGUUGAACCUACGCUAUCGCUACACAACUCGAAGAAAUUUUCACCUUUGUGGAAGACUGGCUGAUUUUUCCAUUCUGGUCUUUCUCUUUAAGCACAGCAGCGACAAGCCUUCUCAGUGCCUGUGGUCAGAAUCAUUUUAGCAGAAUACCGAAUUUUACCUUCACCAUAAAUGUUUUUCAUUUUACCUGGGCUUGUACAAUUGGAUUAGGGAAGUCAAGCCGGAUCUUUAAGGCUUCCAUCGUGCCUACGAAAGCAGUACAAUCUAUCAUAAAAUUAUCUUGCAGCAUGGUCACAUGGGUUUUGGUCCCGCCCUCCCAUUUAAAACACCAGUAUCAGGUGUCCGCCUGUGAAAUGCAAGUGAUGCAGCCACCUGUUGCCUCACAAAACGAUUGUGAGGAUGGUGUACAACUUUAGGGCCUUUGAAAGUUGAUCCCUGCACAGUGUAGUCAGGUUAUCAGCUUGAAACUGUAACAUAUUUCAAAAUGACACAAGCAAUCUAAAAAGGUCUCCGUCUAAUUAAAAUUCGGUUGCUCCAUGCACAUGUAAGAUGAUAUAAGGGUUUAACCUUACUAGAAACAGGCAAAAGGCCUGAGCCCAGCACCCACCCAGGACCCACACAACCCAACCCACCCCUUCAACUGUUAUCUAUGUGAUAAGCCAGUUUGCUCGACGGUCCAGCAACAGCAGCAUCGCGUCAGCUCACCGCCAAGCUUUUUGCCAAGCGAUAUGAGCAGGUAAGUCUGCUGCACCUGCUCCGAAAGAACAUUCCGCCGAGAACGAAGCAGCUUACAAAUGAUCCUUCUUGCGUCCCUGCUGGUUUAAAUCUUCAAUUUUGGUCAGUAAAACCUCCAAGCGUUUGUUCCAGUGCAUUUUUCCCAUACUGCUGAACAAUAUGGACCUGCAACUGCAAAGGUCUGCAGUAGCCACAGAAGGGAGGACAAUGCUGCAGUACUUGUUGAGCCAACAGAGCUUUAGAAAGGACCAAAACCAGGCUUUGCUCAGCACCCUUUCAGGUGAUGCAACGGGCCACCACCAUAAGUGUUUUUCAAGCUAAAACACUAAAUAUUUGACAAUUCAGGCUCCUUGAACGCAGUUUUAUUCAUUUUGCGAGUUAGCUGCCAUUG